UACGGGGGGGGGCAAGCGUUGUUCGGAAUUACUGGGCGUAAAGGGCUCGUAGGUGGCCAACUAAGUCAGACGUGAAAUCCCUCGGCUUAACCGGGGAACUGCGUCUGAUACUGGAUGGCUUGAGUUUGGGAGAGGGACGCGGAAUUCCAGGUGUAGCGGUGAAAUGCGUAGAUAUCAGGAGGAACACCGGUGGCGAAGGCGGUUCUCUGGGCCUUACCUGACACUGAGGAGCGAAAGCGUGGGGAGCGAACAGG
rnacentral:rRNA from 1 species